UAGCAACCCCCACCCCUCCUUUGAACGUCAGAGCCAGGAGCUGGAGGAUGAAGCCGCAUGCAGCUUCUGUCUCUUGUGCCUCUCAGAGAGCACCUGUGAUUUUUGUUAUCUCAGAUGCAACAGCCAGCAGGAGCAGGAGCAGCGCUGCACUGCAUCUGGAAAUAAUCUAAUGAGUGAUUUGACUCGUGCCCGCUGUAUAUCGCACACCAUCAAACGCCACAUCUAGAAAAAAGCACUGAUCCAGCAGCGUCUACAGCAUGUCUUGGCUGUUCUUGGACUGGUUCGUCCCCCUCUAUCUGCUGGUGUCGGUUUUGGUGCUGGCAGGGUUCGGAGCCUGCCUUUACUUCCUUGAGCCCGGGCUGCAGGACGCCCACAAGUGGAGCAACAAAACAGUCCGGCAUCACCCGCUGGUGGCCAGUGUGAACUGCAGAGAUGACGAUAGUAAUGCCCUGAUAUGACCAGGAGAGUGACCAGGAGUGGACGACAGGCCAUCUGGACGGGGUGCGGCCAGGACACGAGUGGGAUGGGAGCCAGCACCUAAAGAGGGAGAGAGAAAAUGCAAGAGAAAGGCCGUAUUUUGAUUAUCUAAUAAUGCAAGCUCUGUCCUACCAUUCCAACUUUUCUUUGACCUCUUGCAAACACAUUUGCAGCAGAGAUCAGGGAAAAGUGACUAGAGCUGUUUAAAAGAAUCUAAUGAAGCCAAAGGCAAGAGGGAGACAGGACUAUGUCGAAGUGGAUAUGUGAGGUGCAUGGAGGACAUGUUGCCCUUUAGAAAAUGUCUCAUGCCAGUUUGACAGAUCAACAAAAACGUGCUUACACUUGAUGUAAAUUUCAUUCCAUCUUAUACUUGUGCCAACUUUUACAUAAGUUUUGUAACUUGACAAUCACUUUGCAUAUAUCAUAAAGUUUACUUAUGUAGUGAUUUUAAUGAGUGAAGUGAAUGACGUAAGUGCAAUGAAUUAGUUGUCAAGGGAGGGAAACCUCAGCCUGGCAAUGACAGCAUGGCAGCUGCUAUCAAGCAUGUGGAUUGUUAGUGCCACUGUGCCAAAAUGGUGUAGGUGUUAGAAGUAGGGACUUUGUUAAAAUAAUAUGUGCUGAAAUAAAUGCAAUGAAAUUAUUCAAGGUGCCAAGUUUAUCCUAGAUGGACCAAGAUAAGGACCAAGAACAGAGUAUUUGGUAAUGCUCAAAGUGUAUAUUUGUUUGUCAUUGUUUCUACUGGACAGCACGGUGAGGAAAUUGUGGGUGUGCACACCCCUAUUUUAAUGACCAAAUGCGUCCUGUAUUCAUAUAAAAAUAAAACUCUUUUAUCUCUAACUGUU